UCUUUCAUUUCCUUUGCUUUGAUUAAAAAAGGCUAAAGAUGUGAACAAAACAUUUUGUUUGAUUGAAAACAAAAUUUUUACAAUUUUCUUCAUUCCCUGAAAAUUCUGAAAAAUGUUGGUUUUGGUUUGACCCAAACUUUUUUUUAUUUUUUUGUAUUUUUCAGAGCCAUUAGUGAACCCCCCCAAAAGUUACUUGUACCACUCUCCUUUGUGUGCUUACUAGGUUUUAAAUUGCAAAGGGUCCAAAUAUUACCUGAGGGCUCUGUUUCAUGAUAACAUAAUUAGUUUCCAUGGAGACAAUUAUGCUGCCAUAAACAGAGGGUUAUGACUUCAAGUGAGAGAGAAACAGCAGGAGCACACAAACUUCUAAGCAGCAAAGAUGCUCCUCUUUUCCUUAAUCUGCAGUAGUAAAAAGCAACCACAGGGAACAAAAGAACUAUCUCUGCUUGUAAUAUUUUCAAUGUUUAGUAUACGAAUACUGUAUGCUAAUGUUGCAUGUGUCUACAUGUAUCUCACCUAUCUUCUUUUAGCUCAAAAGGUGUGUAAUAUAGAGCUUGCAGCCCCUUCUGUGGAUAACAAUUUGAAUAGCUGUACUAAAAUGGAGCCAGAUGCUCAGCUGGCAUAAAUUAGUCCAGCUCUAUUUAGGUCAAUGGAACUAUGCUGAUUUAAAUCAUCUGAGGAUCUAGUUCCAUGGUGUGAAUCUACACUUUCAGGCAGCGGGUCAGAUCUCCAUAUUUUCCAGCAGCUUCUGAACAGUGGCAAUGUGCCAUAUAAAAAGAGAAGCUUGGUCUCACUUAUGUACAGAUGAAACAGUGCUUUGGAAGGGUACCCUUUACAAGAACAGUUAAAGGUUAAGCAGUUCAGGGGGAAAAAACCUGCUGCCGCCAGAUGCUCAGAUGACUAGAUUCUGAAUGAGCGAAGUAGCAACAAGUUAUAGUGGCCUAAGAAGAAACAUUGCCAAUGCUGCAGUAGAGCUCAAAGGUGUGCUAGUUAUGCAGCUAUUUUCAUUGAUAUGUGUGGAAUUGUAAUAAAAACAGAACAGAGGUCGCUCCA